UCCUCAUUCCGCGUACUCUCUCACCGGUCAGAGUGACGAGAGAGUACGCGAAAUGAGGAGA
rfam:Pristionchus pacificus strain PS312 contig11871, whole genome shotgun sequence.